rnacentral:rRNA from 1 species
GUGGCGGACGGGUGAGUAACACGUGAGCAACCUGCCUAUCAGAGGGGGAUAACGAUUGGAAACGAUCGCUAAUACCGCAUGACAUAGCGGAAUCGCAUGGUUCUGUUAUCAAAGAUUUUAUCGCUGAUAGAUGGGCUCGCGUCCGAUUAGAUAGUUGGUGGGGUAACGGCCUACCAAGUCGACGAUCAGUAGCCGGACUGAGAGGUUGAACGGCCACAUUGGGACUGAGAUACGGCCCAGACUCCUACGGGAGGCAGCAGUCGGGAAUAUUGCGCAAUGGAGGAAACUCUGACGCAGUGACGCCGCGUGCAGGAAGAAGGUUUUCGGAUUGUAAACUGCUUUAGACAGGGAAGAACAAAGACAGUACCUGUAGAAUAAGCUCCGGCUAACUACGUGCCAGCAGCCGCGGUAAUACGUAGGGAGCAAGCGUUAUCCGGAUUUAUUGGGUGUAAAGGGUGCGUAGACGGUAAUGCAAGUUAGUUGUGAAAUCCCUCGGCUUAACUGAGGAACUGCAACUAAAACUACAUUUCUUGAGUAUUGGAGGGGAAAGUGGAAUUCCUAGUGUAGCGGUGAAAUGCGUAGAUAUUAGGAGGAA